GUGGAAAUUUGGCAAUGUUCUUUAGUUUGUUUGGUGCCCAUGUCUCCACGAAAUUUCGUUCGGGGCCAUCUAUAUGCGAUGGAGCCAACUUGUAAGUGACACAUGUCAGGCAAAGAAUCUUAAGCCUCAAAUGUUAUUAUAUAAUAUAUAUAAAAUAAAAUUUGGGUGACUAGUCAAAUGAUUUUAGAUCAGCAAGGUAUUAGCAAUUAUUUUAGAGAUAAUAUGCAGUUGUUAUAUGUUAGACACGUGUGAUUAUAUAGGUUGCCCACCCUAGCUUCAACAGUAAAAUAAAAAAAAAUCAAUAGAAAGUGGAAAAUGGAAACAAAAAUUUAAAGUUGUUAGAUUGGUAUUGCCUUUGUGCUUAUCUAUUCUAGGCUAGCUGAAUUGUAUGUAAAAUGUACCAUAAGUAGCUUUUUGAGUUUGUUUCUAGUGCUACUGAUUCUAAAUCCAACAUUCUGAUAAAAACUUGCAUUUGCUUGGCAAAACUUCCAGGGUUGCCUCUGCUCUCCUGUGAAGGUUUAGUUACAGAAGUGCAACAAGUGUUCUCGAGAAUUUUGCUCUCCCAUUAACUAUAGAAGACAUAUACGCAUACAACAUCGAUUGAAAAAGCUUGAUAAGGAUUCUGAUAAAAAUAGGGAUCUUUUAGGGACAUAUUGAGAUAAGCUCUCCGUAGAAGAGGCAAAGGAAGUUGUGUCAUUCAAGAAUGUGAUGUUGGAGGUAAUAUCUCUUUUGCUCCUUAUGUGACUAGUUUAUUUCUAUAUGAAGUUAUGUUGAUGUGAUUUGCCUUACUCAAGUACUGGUUAGGUCAAUAUGUUAGACUAUAAUUGGUAGAAAUGAAAGUGGGGGCAGUUAAGUACAUUAGCCUCUACAUUCCAUUUCACACUCUCACUUCAAUUAAGAUAAGCUUUUGUUAGUUUUCUAUAUUAUAAGGUUUUGUAGAUACGAAAUCCUUUCAUAAAUGUGCUUUUAUGUUUAUGCUAUAGUUCUGUUUGUUGUAUUUGUGACUAUUAAAGUUCUU